rnacentral:lncRNA from 1 species
UCUCUCAAGUUGCUUCUGCGUUCUUCAGGUAUUGACUCUUCUACUUCAUCGAUCUCUCUGUUAUAGUGCCAAUUCUCAUUCAUCUCUUUGUUUUUGUAUAACUUGCUGUGUCUUCUACAACUUAAUCACUGAUCUCUCUGUAACUCUGCUACUCAUUAUUGAAUUCUCUUCUAUUUUGUUUUUUGCUUUUAAUCACUAUGUGUGUGAGUGUGUGAGUGUGUGAGCGAGCGAGUGAGAGAGAAAUAUUCUCAUUUUUGGAGAUGAAUUUCGUGUCUCUGUGUGUGAGUGAGUAAGAGACGAUAAUUUGAUGAUUUCUCUGAUAGCUAUUUAUUAUUGAUUUCUCUUUUAUUUUGUUUUUUGCUUUUAAUCACGGUGUGAAUAUAUGUGUGAGCGAGCGAGUGAGCGAGAGAGAAAUAUUCUCGUUUUUUGAGUUGAAUUUCGUGUGUGUGUGAGAUUUUUGUGUACUCAUCAUUGAUUUCUCUGCUAGCUACUUCAUCAUUGAUUCUCUACUUUUUUGGGCUUUUAAUCACUGUGUGUGUGAGAAAAUGUGCGUACGUGUGUGAGCAAAAACGAAUUUGAUAAUAAACAUAGCUUAAUAGGAUGUGACGGGUUAUCAUAGCUUAAAAUACAUUUUUAAAUAUGUGCUUUGAUUUUAUAUUGAACAGGUUCAAGAUGAGUCGUUCCAUGUACGUGGCUGAAUUUGACGAGUAAGAUGUCUACCUACAAUUUGAUAUGCUUCUUUGUUUCAUUGGAGAAGGUUUCACUGAAGCUAUGAUUUGAUUUAUGGUGCCUAAUUUUAGCCUAACGAUUAUUUCUUGCUUUUUGUAAUGUAUGGGUUGAAUUCUUAUUUGGGAGAGUUGCCUGGGGGUUAUCAUGAGGUCAUUAAAGGAGAGUUACUUACUUGUGCUUGUAAGUAUUUCCUUUGACUAUGUAUUUACUUUUUGUUGACUUUUCCCCUACCUCUGCCACCUUUUGUUGUUUAACAGUUCGGAGAUCGUUUCAUAAUGUACCGUAUUGCAUUGUAUUAUAUUGUAGUGUAUCGUUUGAUGAAUACAAUGUUUAGAUAAAUUGUAUCAUUUGUUGUUGUUUCAUGAUAUUACGUACCAGUAAUAUCAUGACCUAAUGUGUCUUUGAGUUACUAGUCCCUAUUAUGAGUUUAAUUAGAGGAUUUAACUAGUCCGUUCUCGCUAAUGACCUAAUGUGUCUUUGAGUUACUUAUGAAGGCAUCUCUAAAAAAUUCCCAAGUGGAAAGCUUCAGUACUGACUUCAACUUCUGAGGCUAAAUUAGCGUUUGGCCGCUAAUGUGUCUUCGAACUUUGUUUGUUGCAGAAAUGGACAGGAGAGAAAAAUUUUCACACAACUUUAGCAGAGGCCUUGAACAAGGUGGUCAACGUCCAUGAAUCUGAGAUCUACUUGCUUGAAAUUGAUGAGCAAAUCUGAGAUCUACUUUAUAUGAAUAAAGUAGCAAAUGUUUGACCUACUAAAUAGUAGUUAUAUACAACUCAUUUUGUUGUGCUCAACAUUUCUACUAAUCAUAGUAUCAUAUUCCUACCAAAUACCUUCUUCCUUUAUCACUGCAAAGGCCUUGAGAUUAUGCUGAUAUAUACUCUAAGAAGAAGCUAAAUACAAUUUAAGACUGUAGAAAGGCAAUCAAACUCGUUUUGAAGUGGCUUAAACACAAAUUAUGGUCCUCCCAAGAUAAAUAUGGCGAAACAGUUCUUAAAGAGGUACAUCACAAGCAUUAACAAAUGGGCAGUCGAGUGCACUUAGC